GGACAAUCCGCGUCCUGACCGAGCCAACCUGGAGAAGGGCUGCCUGAAGGGGGCGGCCGCAAUCUUCGCGACGCAGACUUGGCACCCUACUGCUCCUCUGUUAGUCUUUAACAGUUAGUGCCUGCAUGGAUGGACAUCCCUGGAGUCAAAAGAUGGUGGUAUUGUCCAAUUACAGUGAGUUUAAGUGAGGCAAAUUGAAGAGAACAUGCUUCAGGAAGUCAGCACUGGAUGGAGCUGUUUCACAUCCUGGACCCCUCAAUGGGAUGAUGAAAAGGACUUUGUUGUCUGGAUGAUUUGUGAAUAUUUGAUCUCUUGCCAAGUAGACUGUAAGCACCUCCAGCAUAAGGAAAAUGCUAUCACUCAUUCUUUAAUCCUCUAAAAAACUGAGGACAGGUAUUUACAUAUGGUAAAUAC